UCCUUUUCAUAGGCAAAUCUAAAGUGAACCUUCAAACUAGUUUUGUGUUGAAUAUUCAUAUUAAACAAAAAGCAAAUACAAAACCCAAUCAAGACAUUGAAGAAUCUGUGACUAUCUUCCUCAAAGGUAUGCAUUUGUAUCAUGCUACAAUUUGACCCAUUAAACCACAAAUUUUCAGUGUAGUAGUUAAAUGCUUGUCCAUAUUACAAGUGGUUUUGCAUCUCCAACUUCGCUUGGGUCAAUGUGCUCCAAUAAACUCAUUUGUUGCUGAGGAGUAUGAUAACAUGCAAUGCCUGAGGAGGCUGCUAGACAUGGGAUGUGUUUAGUGUGGCCGUAGUAGUUGUUGUGGAGGCUGCUGGUCAUAAGAUGAGAUGGAUGUUGCUGUGGAGGGCCACUACAUGCCAUGGCGCUGUUUCUAUUUUUCUCGGUACAGCUGUGAUGAUUUAUGGGUUGCUUAUUUUUUGAUUGCUUUUAGUCCUUGUCUAAGCUUAGAUUCCUUGUAAUUGUUUCUUUUUGUUUCAUAGGUUGGUGUUAUGCAAUAGGUAAGGGCCAACAAUUUUUUGUGACGGUCAACAAAAUGGUAUUUUUGAAAGACCACUUGCAUUUCACUGUUAUGUUCAUAGAUUUAGUUUCAUUGAAAGCUUUUAAUCAUCCUCUGAUGCUGCAACUGAUGUUGGUAUUUUUGAAAUUCUGAUUUUCUGCAGGAGGGAUAGCUUCAAAUGAUGUGUAUCAAGAUCAGAUUCAGCAUUUCCUAACAGCAAUGUCUUCGCAUGUUUACCGAUAUAUAUAUAUUGAAAAUGUAUCUGGAACGUUGGUUAUGCGCUGGGUUAACUCAAAGUCAGGAAGAAUUUUAGGAUGGGUUGAAUGGGCCAUUCAACAGGAGGGUGCUAUUCAUGCGGCUUUUUUGGAGGCCAUCAGGCCCAUGUUCCAGCACUCCGGAGCAGCCCUUACGGGAAGAAAGUCCUUUUAAGCAACAGCCUGAAGAAGUAAUUUAUGCUGUUUCAGGAAGUUCUGCAAGCGGGAUAUCACGCCUUCCUAUGGCUGAAGCAUGGCGUGACCUCUCAUCCAAAUAGAACACAAUGGAUGGGUUGAAUGUCUGAACCACAUUUUAACAGACCCUGUAAAUAAUCAAGAAUAGG